GUGUCAGCCGCCGCGGUAAUACGUAGGUGGCAAGCGUUGUCCGGAUUUAUUGGGCGUAAAGGGAGCGCAGGUGGUGAUUUAAGUCUGAUGUGAAAGCCCACGGCUCAACCGUGGAAGGUCAUUGGAAACUGGAUCACUUGAGUGCAGAAGAGGAAAGUGGAAUUCCAUGUGUAGCGGUGAAAUGCGUAGAUAUAUGGAGGAACACCAGUGGCGAAGGCGACUUUCUGGUCUGUAACUGACACUGAGGCUCGAAAGCGUGGGGAGCAAACAGGAUUAGAAACCCCGGUAGUCC
rnacentral:rRNA from 1 species